AUGGUGUUUGUGCUGUUCCAGCAAUUAGCUAGGGGGACAGUUUUUGCGCCCGACAUGCGGCACAACUUCAGCUUCAGGAGCCUCGCGCGCCAGUACCACCUCAGCAUUGUGGCUGCGACAUAUUUCAACUGUCAAAUGGAAGGUGGAUGGGGCGGAAGAAGGUUUAGGCCAGAAAGUUCUCAAUGGGAGUAG
rnacentral:rRNA from 1 species